rnacentral:rRNA from 1 species
UGGGGAAUAUUGGGCAAUGGGCGCAAGCCUGACCCAGCAACGCCGCGUGAAGGAAGAAGGCUUUCGGGUUGUAAACUUCUUUUGACAGGGAAGAGCAGAAGACGGUACCUGUCGAAUAAGCCACGGCUAACUACGUGCCAGCAGCCGCGGUAAUACGUAGGUGGCAAGCGUUGUCCGGAUUUACUGGGUGUAAAGGGCGUGUAGCCGGGCUUACAAGUCAGAUGUGAAAUCCGGGGGCUCAACCCCCGAACUGCAUUUGAAACUGUAGGUCUUGAGUAUCGGAGAGGCAGGCGGAAUUCCUAG